GGACAUCUCCAGAAGGCUUUGGGAAAGCUCCUGGGCCUGUGCUCACCUCCUGCAUGGGAGCGUGCUGGAGAGGCCGCUCCUUCUUGUUGAAGUCUUGCCAUGCUUUUAACCUUCACGUACAGAUACUCCAAGGAAAAAAUGAGCUGCUUCUAACCGAAUUAGCUCCGUGUUUUCAUCUGCCAUUAUGUUAAUGCAACGCGAAGCUCAGCAGAUGGCACAAAGUAAAUUAUGCUGGGGAGGGGGGUGUGGAGGGGGUGGAGGAGGAAGCAAAAUUGACCUUUUGAGGACUUGCUGUUUCCCCACAGCAUGGUUUGAAAGCUCAAGUUCCAUGUCCUGCUUAAAGUCGCAUCAGUCAAUGCAAAGGCAGACAUGAAAGGCACUGAGAUGCCGACGAAUGUCAACUCUCCCUGGCAUCAAAUGUUUCUGAACUUAAUUUACCUGCACAUGUGUUCAAAGAGCUCCGCGUAUCCCUCACAAACGCUCUUCCUGGUCUGAAGCACGUCGAUGGGUUUGCUCGACAGCUGGCUUUUGUCGCGGUAGCCCACCACGUCGUAUUCUGUGGGAAGGAACGCGGACAAAAGUUCAUCCCAAAGCCCGAGGCAACGGGAUCGAUGGGCAGCGGGAGCAACCCAUUGCUUUUCAUCUCCGUGAGCCUAAGCAAAGAGAAAUGAGUCGUAGCAUGUGCUGCACAGAGAUGGGCAGAGAGGGACCAGGUCUACCUCUCAUCACCAUUUGCUCUAAGCCUGGGCUGGGAUUCUGCAGUUGAACCCGAAUGGGAGGAAAAAAUAUCUGCUCUCAUGUCAGGGGAACUGCAGUCCUGUUAAAGUGCAAAGAGUUCUACAUUUCAGUGGGUUGCACUCAUGCUACUGUCCAAGGAAACCACUGAGCUUUUUGCGCUUUUGACAAGCAAUUUGUAUUUAAAAAUACCUGGAAAGUAGCUUGUUGGGAAAUACCUGAAAUGACUUGUUGCGAGGGAGUCAUAUUAAUACCUGGAAGCGUAGGAAAUCUUAAUUUGUUGGAAUGAAUGCAGAAAAGCAGAACAGCAGGGUUCCUUCAGACAGAGCUUGAGGAACUGGUCUGGGAAGGUUAAUUCAAUACUGCCCAACCUUGGUCAUGUCCAUCACCUCUUUCUUAAAAUAUGAGCAUAUUUUUCUGACAAAGCUCUAAGGAAUGCUGCAUCAGCUGAUUCAUCUUCCCUUUUAUGCUGUGGAAGAGGGGGGAAAAAAGCUGGUGACAUGCUGUAUUUGUGCUUUGAAAUGCUGCAACCCCUUGGCUUUUAUCUAUGGGGCUUGGCUGGUGGCUGCCUCGGGGUUGGCUUCUCCUCCUGGGCUGUCCACCUGGCCACCAGCAAAGCUGCUUGGAGAGCUUGCUGUCUGCUUGUGGCUCCGUAGUGAUGCUAGAAAUAUAGCUAAAAUAAUUGGUUUUAGUGCUCCUGCAUAGAGGUAGCGGUCCAUUGCAGGCUGGGGGUUGAGUUGGGUGGGAAGAGAUACCCAGGGAGCAGCGCUUUCCCUUGAAAUCCAAACAGGGAAGGGGUCUAUAUCAUCAGACGAUUUAAAUUCCUAGCACUAUGUUUAUCUCCUGUACAUGUAAAUAAGGGUCAGGCUCUGCAGGAAGGAAGGACAACCAGGGGCAAGACAGUGUGAAAAAAUAUUGCGAGAUCACAGCGUACUGCCUGGAUCAGAGACAACUUGUGUGUCAGGUGAAUGGACUGACUCAAACCAAACUGGCUCUCCAAGGUGGGAUCUGGCCCAGGCAACGGCCAGAAGUGGGUUAAUAGUGUAAAGACUUGAGUGAUCAGUGCUGGGGUGGGGCGAAUGCUCGGUUUUCAGAAAUGCACUGAAAUCAGCAUGUUUGAGGGCAAGAUUAAAGCUGUUUGGGAUUGAGCUAACUGUGCUAAGCCUGCAGUUGCUGGCAAAGCUCUGCUGGUCUCCGUGGGUGUGAGAUUAGGGCAGUGCUAGUGUGGUUACACCUUGGAGUAAGGUGAGUGGGAGGUACAGACUCAUCAUAUGGAAAGGAGUCAUUUACACACAAACCUUGUAGGAAGGGCAGUGCUGGGAGAGGGACUAUGGAAAUGGAGAUGGCGAGAGAACCCCUGAAUGUAUUUCUGGAUAAAUACACCCAGAAAACCUUCCUUCCACCCUGCACUUGAAACUAAACCAUAAGACAUAGCAAACUGCAAUGGCAGCGUCAUGGGGGUGACAGCCACAGCCUUAUCUUCUCAGUCAAAGAUCUCAACCUACCUAUGUGAUGGCAUAUCCACAUCCAUAUGGCUCGGACUUUCUCCAGAUCAGUCCGGGCUUGUUUAAGCAGGGCUUUAACGAGCUCCUCCACGCUGUUUGUGACAUUUACCUGUUUGUGAGGAGGAAACAUUGCAAGGUUGCAGUAAAGAAAUGCUCCAUGCUCCUUUGUUCUUCUAAAGCUGGUGAGACCUCACCUGCCAGGAGACUGCUCUAAAUCCAGCUUCAUUAGAAAUACAAAUUCAACAGUGUAGUUUCACAUUUUGAGCAAAUACUUUUGGUUAUAGUUUCCCUGCUGGAGUGGGAUCUCUGUUGCUGAUGUUUGCAGGGAAACUGGGUUUUUUUGGUUGUUUGGGACACUUUGAGGCACAUGCCCCGAUAGCUCAGACUGAGCCGGUGUUCGUGCUGGUUUCAGGGAACGUCCCUGCAGGGGAGCUGGGAGGAGGACAGAGGGGAAAAGCAGGACUUACUUUUAAUGCGUAGGCAUCCAGCUUCUCAAAUUGCCGCAGAUCGACUGGCAUGGAUUUCAAAGAGGAUUUGUCCCAUGGAUAGGCUGGGAAGAAACGAGUUGUCAUUGUCUGGGGAAGGGAGGGGGGCAUUUUUUCCUGGCCGUGCUCUUGGACAAGGGGACAGGGCUCCUGCUCAGGGAGCAGAGGACAGCAGGGCGCUUACAGAGGCCCCUGACAGCUGCACAGAACGCAGGAGCCAUCCUGUCUAGUCUGUAUAAUUUGGGCCGUGCUGGAGCGGGAGCGGCCCCUCUGUCUUUGGUGCUGCGUAACAGCAUCGAAAAUCCCAGGAUAUUGUGGAGGUGCGUGAGAUACAGAGCAGGAGUACCAGGGAAAAUCUGUGCUGUGGAAACCCUGGUGGAAACAUGACUUAAAAAAAAGGUUAUAUAUACAUAUAUAUUUAUAACAGCAGCAAAAAGCUGCCUUUCUCCAGUAGUUUUGCUGAAAACACUGACCGCUGUGCAUGGUAAAGGGCCACGAUUCUGUGCAAAUUUGAGCACAUGAGAGAUGUUACAUGGGGAGCGGUUGGACCAAGACGGCGUCUUCGCAGGCUUUAGCCUCACAGUUCUACUCUCUGUGAACAAAGGGUUAAUAACUUGCACUAAUUAAUCAGAUAACUUAUUUUUUAACAGUCUCCGGAUAAGCCGACACUGUGAUGCAGCGAUAUCUCAGUGCACAGAUGUCUCGGGUGGACGUCUCCCCUGGAUCGCCGUAUGCUCAGCGCUGCCUUUGCUUCUGAGCUGGGGAGAGGACUGAGCUCUACAGCAACCACUGCCAUGUGCUGUCAAAGCCCCUCGGGACUAAAAGGAUUCUUCUACCUAUCUCUGCAGGAUUGUUGUUUCUCCAGGAAAAAAAGGGGGAUUUAAAAAGGUUUGCGAAGUGAAAAUGCUGUUGUGUGACUCCUGAGUGCUGGGAGAGGUGAAUGGAUGGUGCUGUAGAGGUGGCCAGAAGGUCUGUUUCUGACUGGCGAAGGUGUUUUGUUAAUUUAAGCCCUGCUUUUCUUGCAAACCUGUACCCGAGGGAGGAGUUUUGGGGUGUCCCGCAUCCCGGUGACGGUGUGACCUGCCAGCCGGGAUGCAGGCACCCAUUGCCCGUCCCUGCGCUGCGAAAAUCUGUGUGUAGGCACACGGCAUCUGUUUCUUUAACAGCCUUCUUUGUUUAUCUCGUUUUUUUCCCUUACAAGGACUAUUACGCUGACCUAAAGAAAGAUAAAGCAGAUUUACGCAUUUAAAGGUUCCCACUCUCUACAGCUCUGAAAAUUACUUUUUGCCUGUUGGGAAUGGGAUGUUUUGGUAUGUUUUUAAAUUGGUUGUCUGUUUUUCGUCUUUGUCAGGCUAUCGCUGCAGAGGCUCCUUGUGGUAACUCACAUAACCCUGUGCAUCAUGCCUGUUUGCAGAGCACCUGCCUCGGCUGGGAGCCUCGGGAAGCCCUUGGGCACAGGGCUCCCUGGAGACUCGCCGGCCUGGAUGGACAAAGGAAAACAUCUGAGAGCCUUGCAGAGAGUGGGGGCUGGAUUAAAUAAACCUGUGCCUUUGCACUGAGGCACCACAUUAGGCUUAGACUACCAGGAAAGCAAGUCAGGUGCUCUGAUUCCCUUCCCCGAAAGCUUCUCUGUCCCGUAGCAUCGCGGUCCUGCAGCCAGGGCCCGUCAGCAGCUGUCACCUCUAAGCCAUGGAGCCUUUGUGCAGUUGUUCCUGUUGCUGCUCCUCCUCUGCGCCCCCGUAAGCUGGACCGUGCCCCUGUGGGGACAAGGGACCAGGGCCAGACGUGCUGCUCCACAUGCAGGUGCACUAAUGAUUUCUGUCUUGUUCUCCGUGCUGUUCCUGUUGAAGUCCUGUCCCAGCACCAGCUUUGCUUUGUUCGCCCACCACUGAGCGGGUAUUUUCACAGAACUAUCCACAAGAUCUGUCUCCUGACUCAGAAUAGCUCAUUUGGAGCCCAUUAUUGUGUGUGUGUGUGUGUAUAUUUGGAGUUUAUUUAUUUUUUUUUUUCCAGGCAUUACUUUGCAUUUGUAGAUAUUGAAACUCAGCUUCCAUUUUCUGCCUCAAUUACAAGUUAGCUUCGGAGCGCUGGGAUGCAUUCAUGUUGUGUAACGCGUUACAAUUGCACUCUGAUGAGUUUUAAUCUCCUCUUUUGGCCUGUCCUUUCUUCCUCCCUCCGACAGAGCUGCAAGGCUCUGUGCUUAUUCUCCUCCCAGCAGCUUCCAAACCACGGGUUGCUCAGAUGCUCUGCUGGUUUUGCAGCUUUUGCUGCAUCAGCAGCUGUGCUUUAUGAUUUAAGACGGCAGCAGAACUUUCCACUGAACUAUAAACCCGUGUAUUCAGUUUCCUGGUAUCCGCACACCCGGGAAGCAAAGUGACGGCUUGGAUAGUCCUGCGAGGGCUGUUCAAGCAAAAGAAGACCCAACCCCUCUGACCACCCCCGCAGAGCUGAGGGAGUGAGGACCAGUCCCUGUUCAACGAGGGAAAACACUUCACCAAAGAGACGAAACAUCUUCAUCACUCUAAAGGUAUAUUUUAAAUAAGCAGCCACAAAAAAGGUAAGAUAAGGGCUCCUGGGUGGGGGCUGUGCACGGUGCACUCAGUGUUCGCACUUCAUCUGCUCAUGGAUGGUUUGCACCAAUAAAUUCUGGUGCUGCAGCUCUGAUUUGUUCCUGUGGAACCUCCGCUGGCCUUUCCCCGUGCCACAGCCAAAUGUCAGCGGAUCCGAGCCACUGGCGGUGAGUGCAGGCAGCCAGCGCCUUGCUCUUUCCAUCGGUGCUGGGUCAGAUGGCAGACUCCCCCAGGGCCCAAGUGUUAUUAUCAUUAUUUAUUUGUAUCGUGGCAGCGCCUAGGAACAGUUGUAAGCUAACGCAGCACAGGUUGUGACAUGCAUCACAGAGUAAAUACUGAGUGCUAUCACAAUAAUGCUGCCUCCUUGCAGCCCCUGCUCCCAUGGCAGCAUCCACCCACCGCCGUUAAUACUUCCCUGGUUCUGGUUAAUUGGGUGAGUUGAAAUGUUGGGACUGUGGUGCAGAGCAGCCCCGGAGCGAUGCGCAGCUUUGGCGGGCACCAUGGCCCCUCUAAUCCCAACCGGCAGGAUAAUGCAAGCUGCGGAGCAUCUCCAGAAAGCAGGACGAGGCUGGUUUGGUUAAAGCAACAGGUCUCCAAUUAAGCAUAACAAGAAGGAGCUAUUUCCCUGGGUUUUGCUCCGCGAGACCGGCUGUCUCAAUUAACUGGCUCCCCUUACAGUGUUUUUCAACUGUACAGAGAUGAGCCAAGGACACAUGAACGUAAGGGGAUCCAGGAGGAUUCCCCGAGUGCCAGGAAGCUGGACGCUGCUGUCUCUCCUCUCCACGGACGUGCGCAGCCCGUGUUCGCUGAGCGAGCGCUGUUUGGAGUUUGGAGGAGAGCGGCUCAGGUUCUCACCUGCUCACGGCUCCGUUAAUGCUGCAAUAAUUCCUUAACCAACUCAUUGCUCAGGGGCUCAGCCCCUCCUGCACCCGUCCUGCUGGGGCUCUCGUGCAAUUGGCUGGAGCAGCUAUUGCUCUUGGCAAAAAAAUCCCUAGUUUGCUGGUGAUGAUGCAAAACAUGUAGUUUGUGGGGGAAACACCUGAGUACCACACAUAGGGUAAUUUCUUCUCCCCAGGAACAAGCGCCAGGAGCAGAGGAAACGGCCUCAAGUUGCGCCAGGGGAGGUUGAGGUUGGAUGUGGGGAACAAUUUCUUCCCCAAAGGGCUGUGGGGCAUUGGAACAGGCUGCCCAGGGCAGUGCUGGAGUCACCAUCCCUGGAGGGUUGGACAGACGGACAUGAGGUUCUCAGGACAUGGGACAGUGCCAGGGGUGGGUUAUGGUUGGACUGGAUGAUCUUGAGGGGCUUUUCCAACCAAAAUGAUUCUGUGAUUUCCCUGCACAUCGUGGCCUUGCUCUUCCAGCAAAACAGCUCGUUCCUCCUCCAGGUCUGCUCUCUAACCUCCUUCCUCUCCAGCUCCAGAGAGGUGACAGCAAGAAGGAAAAGAAUCUGCUUGGGGACAUUGUUAAAAGAAGGUUUUGUGGGUGCGACCCAAGUCACGUUGAGAACUUGAGCUGAGCAACAUCCAAAGAAAUGCUGUGGAGUCACCAUCCCUGGAGGGGUUGAACAGACACAGAGAUGAGGUUCCCAGGGACAUGGAGUAGUGCCAGGGCUAGUUUAUGGUUGGACUCCAUGAUUUUAAAGGUCUUUUCCAACCAAAAUUAUUGAUUCUGUGAUUCUAUGACUCUGGCUUUGUCCCUGGUUGUGCGGUGUCCCAGGUGGCAUGGUGGGCAUCAUGUGAGAUGAGGAGCCGUGGGCUGACAGCGGCCCCAGGCCAAGCUGCUCUGACCAUCUGCUCCGUGCCGUGCCAGCCUGCCGGCUGCUAUAAAGAGCGUGCGUGCCGCGGGGGAUCUGCUGGUAACAGGAGCUGCAGGGCUUCAGAGAGGAGCUGACUCUGUCUUUUCAGCUCUGCCUUGUGUAUAUUUAUCCAUACGUACAAAUAGAGCUGGCCCAGGCGCUUGGGUGUCACGCUGAGCUGGCUGCAGCGUCCCCCAGCCUCCGGCUCCAUCCAGCCUUGGUGCAAUGUGGAGCAGCCAAGGGGCUUGCAAUGCAGCAGCCAGCGAGGUUGCUGAAUGUGAGGAGCAGGGUUGGAUGGUUUUCUGCACCUGUUUGUCACCCUGAGGAUUUCAGGGGUGUCCCUACCUGUGGGGUGACCUGGGGAUGCGCUGGUGCUGGUGGCAGCAGGUAGAGCCGAGGGCUGGGAGCCACGAGGCACCUCGUGAUGCUGAGAAGGAUGGGGGAGCGGAGGAGCAGAGCCCGUCCCCUCGCUUACAGUGGCUGCAGCCGGUGCCUUGGACAGAAACGGGGCUUUUAUCUCCAGUCCACACCUUGGCGAUGCAGCGGGAAAGGGCUUUCGCUCAGCCAUCGAACGCCUGACUCUGCGGUUUGAUUCCAGCCAACAAAAUUAGUGCAAGGCUUUCUCUGAGCUCCGUUUUGAUUUUUUUCGGGAAAAUGUGUUAUCAAAGGCAGAAACGUGGCAAAAAGAUUGGAUAAGGACUGUUGGGUAUUGUGCACAUGGGGGCAUGGUGCAGGGCUGUGCUUUGGGACCUCAGUAUUAUGGAAUUCUUUAAUGUUCUGUCUUUGAAUCUUAGUCCUCUCCUUUCCUUCUAACUUGUGAAAGGCAUAAUGCUGUUUCUAGCUUGGUGGAAAGAGAUUUUCUUUCUGAGAUGACUUGGACAGACUUCAGGACCCACUUAAUGUUGGUUCUGGUCAGACUGAGCUUCAAAAGGAGAUUAAUUUCAACCGAGCUUUUAAGUCUUUCACAAAUUGGCUUAAACCCAAGGAUUAUCGAAAUGCAUCAGCACUGAAAUGAACUAUUUAAAAAUAAAUUGGCACUUAAGAUAACUGAAUUUAGGGGACCAGAAAUGCAAACUUGGGAAGAAAUGGGUGAUGGUGACUCUCUGCAAUGUUCCCUAAACCUACCAAGGUCUUUUGUUUCCAACCCAAAAGCAAAGCAAGAGAGAGUCAAAGAUAAAGAAACCUGAAUCUAGUUGGCUUAAAGGUCAUGAGACUUAGUGUCGUGAUAUUUGAGGGUCUCGUGAUUUUUUUUUAAAUGUUAAUACCACAGCCCUCCGUUGGGAAAUUCGCUGCCACUAGUUACCAGCCAUGACUUCAAGUUGUUUCUGAUCCGCUUUAGUGGAGGUUUGAUAACAGAGUUACUGAUUUACCUGUAGGAAGGUUCUUUUAUCCAAGGCUCACGAGAAAGUAGGAAACGGGAGAAUUUUUGUCCUAAUUCCUGUAACAUUUCUGCUAUUUGCUGAGCAGCCCAAAUGUCAUCUUGAAGCUGUUGGUUGAAGUAUCUCGUAUUUGGUUUAUGUGCAACACUCAACAAGCGCACAUGUCAGCGCUUAGAAGGGCGAGUUUAUAUAAAUAUAUAAUGCCCGCUGUAAAACAUGGGAAGGUUUUCUGAGUGUAACCCUGUUUAGUGCGAGGUCAGAGGACCCCUGGACACGCUAUGUUUUGAUUUAUAAUCUUCUUUAGCCUGUAAGGAGUCAAAAAGGAGCUGAAGUUGUUGGUGCUCAAGCUGUGCCUUGGGCUAUCGGAUCCCAGCAAAGGCUCCUGAGCUUCCAGAAAAACUCCUGCCCUGGCUAUAUCACAUAUUGCGCUGCUUAAAAUGAUAAAAGACGGUGACAGGGUUGUCGGGAAAUGUUUUAACUCAUCGCACUGGUGAUAUCAGAGCCAUUGUCUGUUUUAAUUCUGACCCCAUAAUGAAGUAUUGACCGCACUUUACAAUAAAGGUCCAAGAUACAGUAACUCCAUGCUUUUUGGCUCAUGGAAAUGUUAAUUUUUGUUUUUCCAGUAAAUGGCACAAAUGUACUUCCAAAUGAGACUAACAAACACUGAGCCAGGGGAAUAACCCCCCAGCAGCUCUUCCCCGGGGCUGUUUGCUUUUACAAUGGGUGUUUCCUACCCGGAGUUACUCAGCAAAUAAAAGUAAAGGAGGAAAAAUACAGUUACAGUGUUGGCAGAAGGGCUGUGAUUCAUGAGACUGAUGACAUCGCAGGGGUUUAUGAUGUCACGGGGCUGGAUGCUGCCCGAUUUCCCAUCAGAAACUACUGAGCUGGGAAAAGGCAUCCUCAGUGACUUAGAAACCAACCCCAGCGAUCAAAUGUUGCCAUUGAUUACUUAAACGAGAUGAAUUCUUGUUCUGUGCUUAGAGAGGGGCAGAUGCUCAGCUGGUGUAAACUCUUACAUCUGCCUCGGUGUAAAUAAGUCCCUGUAAGUCAGGGGAGCUGUGGUAUUUACACCAGUGGUUUAUUACCCUGUAACGCACACGUGCAGCCUCGCCGGUGGUUACCCGCAUUAUGCUCGGUGCCUGCCAGUCCCUUGCCGCUCCAAACAUCUAAUUAAUUCCCAUGCUUUUAAGGAAAUGAAGCCGUACAGGAAUAUGCUACCAGUAACAAAUUACACAGUACUGAUGCCACCAAUUAAUGCUGCGAGGAAUAAUACCAUAUUUCAGCUGCUGAAUGCUUUUUUUUUCCCCCUAAAUUAAUUUGUCACUGUACAAUAAAAGAAGGCUACUGUCCUGCCUGGAAGUUGUUAAAUUAAUAUUCAGACAUCAUCUGAAGUGCAAGAAAGGGGAAAAAUAUAAGGGAUAUAGGUAUUUAUUUUCCCCCCUUCUUAUUCUCGUUAUGUCUGAGGGUAAACAGCCAAAUACAAGUGUAAAUCCGCAAUCCCCCCUUGGGGUUGUGGUGACUGUCCCAGUGCUCCCAGUCCCCACCAGCAUCAUCCCACCCCAGUGCUGCCAUCUUGUCUCUGUGGGGACCUGAUGUAUACUGCGAUAUUUUCUAAAAACCAGCAAGGAGCCGUCUGGGUUUGUUGUUACCUCCUUGCCCAGGUGAUGCAGAAGCUUCUGAUGUUCCCCAUGCAGGUGAGGACGCAAGGUGGGACUCGAUGGAACAGCUGGCAGCUUCGCUUCCUUGGAGUAAACCAGAUGAGUUGUGGCAAAAGGAGGAAACGCGAUGGAUUAUGUGCUCCCGCCGGGGCUGAGCUUUGCACUUGAGUCACCCGUGGGUUUUUUGACUGAAAGCAUCAGGAAACAUGGGUGCUGCUGUAGAGCCCUUAGAGGCACCAGGGAAACGAGCUGGGCGUGGGGCUGGAAAAGCAAAAGGGAAAGCGUGUUUGGUGCGUGGUGACACCCACAAUUGUGCCCGGAAGUGUUUACCCACGGAGACUGUGGCUGCCCUUGGAACACCCUGGGGUUAUUACCAGGGUGCUUCACUGCAAACACCCCAUAACUCCUGCUCCAGGAACAUGGAUAAGAUUAAAAAACAAAUUAAUCUCAUUUCAGUCACGCAAUAGAGAUGGGACACAACACUGAGUUAGCGGGGCUGGCGUGCAGAGCACAGCCCAUCUCUCUUUGCAAGGAUGAGCUCAAAAAUAGCCAGGCUAGCAUUAUUGAUAUUUCUAUCCAUUUAUAUAUUACGUAGAAGCUUUCUAAUAGUAUAAUUACAAAAAAAUAGCAGCAUGCUGAGACGUUUCCCACUCCCCUGGGUUGCAGCUCUCCCCAGUCUUGGUGCUCUGUCCUGCCAAGACAUGAAGUUAGUUGAAAAGAGAUUUUCUUUAAAUACCACAAACUGUCAUCUGGAGAGGGGAGCACACAGCGGGGCAUAUUUUAGCAGGUGUGGAAGGAACAUUACGCAGCAACAUUGAGGUGAUCUACCCGGCUACCGAAACUCUACCUGCCCUAGUGGGUCGUGAGAAAUGAAUUUGAUAAUGUGGAAAAUCCAGGCGUUAUUGAGAAAUUAGAUUGGUCUCCGACUGGGUUAAUCUGCUGCUGGUCGUAGGAAAAAUUAAUAAAGUGCAGAUCUGUAUCAAUCUGGGUGAUUUUUGGUGAAGUGUGAACCUUAUCCGCCCAAAACUGUUGGCACAGCAGCUGAAGCUGGGACUCACAGGAGGCUUUGUCUGUGGGAUGCCGGCCGUCGUGCUGCAUCCCCGGAGUGUUGGGUACCAAAAGCACCAACAUCCCAAAUACCGGCUUCAGGAUGCGGGAUGAGUUGAACUCUGACUUCAUGACUGCGAUGAGCACAGUGGACAUGCAUUAAAUGCACUUUUGGGGAAUAAUUUCCCAGCUUGGUCUGGACUGAUGACAGAAGAGGUUUGAAUUUGGGCUAGAUGUGUAAAAAAAUGCACAAACGAAGCUGGUUUUUAGCACCUGGCAAGAGGAAAGCAUCUAAAAGUUAAACUGGCCUUGACUUGUGUUAAGAGGAGUUAUCUGUGCUGGCCAUAAAUCGAACCAGGAUGGCUUAAUUGCUCAUUCGCAGUAAAUAAAGCUAUAACUGAGAUGUCUACUUUAUAAUAUAGAGGGGAUCUCCCAGGCUGUGGAGGAUGAUAGCUAGCCAGAGAAAUCCAUUCGAAGGCUCUUUGGGAUCGAUAAGCAGUUAAGAGAGCCGCGGGAAGAUGACAUUGCCUGUCUUUGUGCGCAGGCACCCGGAGAGGUGCCGGUUGUUAAACACACCAAGGGCAAAACUUGAUUUCCAGCUGCGUUCCCAUUCUGUGCCCAAACACACAGAGGCAGGAGCAGCAGAAUAAAUGGCUGGGGACACAUCAGCUUUGAUAACAGUGCUCUUGCCCUCACCGCGGGGUGAUGUCCGAAGCUGGGGUGGUGGGCUUAACCACCAGGUUUAUUAAUAUUUGGCUGUGUGGCUUGUGUUGCAGCUCACGCUGGUACCAGCCCUGGGAUUGCCUGAUUUAGGCUGGACCAAAUGGUGGAGGGAGCGGCUGAGGGGCUUAGAGCUGGUUUUCGCUGAAGGCUUCCGAAGAACUCCAUGGAUGCGACUCUGUCUAUCUGUCUGAGAAGGGUCUCCUCCCAAAUACACUGCUCUUGUAAAUAUAUUUUGUGCUCUCGGUGUUUUACUGGGCUGUUUCUCCUGUCUCUGGGGGAGCUGGAGCCUCCCAUCAACCAUGGGAAACAUAAAUGGCAACAACUGGCUCAUCCCUAAUCGUUUGCUUCAAAAUGCUGUUUGGUAGAAGAUCAAUUGCCACUUAGCUCCCAGCUCCUGCCCUGCCGCUCUCUUAAAAGGGAAAUAUUACAGCUGCUUUCCAGCCCUACUACUCCUCACCUGGCCCACGCUUAAUUAGUAAUUAUUGUUAAGUCCCCCAUGCCAGUGGGACUGCAACAGGAGCUGGGCCAAGCUGUGGCCCCUCCAGCCCCAAAUCCAAAAGAAACGCAGAAUAGAGAAGGAAAAAGCAAACUAUGAAGCAAUCGCUGGUGGGAUUCUGCUCAGUGACACGUGGGGGUGUCGCCUGGUGUCUGUCCCGUGGGUACCUGCACCUUGCUCGCCCCGGUGAGGUGGGAUGCUGGAAUCUGCAGCUGAUACCAGAGUCCUACCAGCCUCGCAAGCAGUUAGAAAACCUCUCCGUCCACUGAACUAGGAAGCUUUGGGGUCAGCUGGUGGUGUGGAAAAUGAUAUAUCCUGUUUUCCCUAGUGAGGAAACAGACCAGCUCACAGUCACUUCACAAGGACGUAAAGAUGUGAGACUCGCUAGAGCCAUUAUUUCCAAGGACUAAUUUGCUCGGCCUUAUUUAAUUAGCUGUCCUUGAGCCAAUCUGCUUAAGUGGCGGUGAGUUCACCCUGAUGCAAAGCACAGGCUCGUAAAACAAGGGCUGGAUGAGGCAUCAGGUGUGCCAAGGCACCACCUGCUUUUGCCUUAUUAUUUCCCGCAGAUAGCUGUCUGAUCCGGUCCCAGAAAUGCUAAUAAUAAUAAUAAUUUUUUGGGAAGAGAGAUGCUUGUAGAUCCUGGCUGUUCAAGCUGGAGAAGCUUGAUGGUGGAGUUUGACAUACAAAUCAUCUCAGAGAGGCCGGCUGCAAAACCUGUCCCGUGGAAAGAAAAGUCCACACUUCACCCUCUGCCAUGGGGGAUGUCUUCCCCGCUGUGGUGUCCAUUAAAAUGAAACUUUAACUGUUUAAACUGAUCCUGCCCGUACCUCUGUGGCCUUAUUUAGCAUCUCCCGGGCGGGUGCCAGCCCUGUCACAGCGGCGUCUCCCGUCGCGAUGUUGCACAUGUACAGGUGGCGUUUCCAAAAGCAUCCGUGGGGACGGACACGUGGGGCCAGGCUGUCAGUGAGGAUGGGGCUGGCUGGUCCCACGGGAGCAUCAGGCUGCCGUCCCCUGGAAUAUAACCCCUUCACAACAUCACCCUCCUGCCAAAAUCCAUUCUUUGCCUUCAUUCCUCCUCUGCUCUGACCUCAGGAUUAUGAUGCUUUUUUGGUUUUGUUUUCAGAAAUAGCAAAUGUUGAAUGAAAUAUCCCCGAGCUUGGAGGCAUUGCAUAGACACGUGCGAGCUCUCUCCCUGCCCUUGGCCGCACCAUAAAACCUGCUGCAGGCACUACAAAGCCAAGGCAGGGGUAUUGCCAGGAAUCGCUCUCCAAAUUCAAGAUGUUCUCUGUAUUUAUUUUUCCCCCGGGCUCCGUUUGCUGACAGCGAACAACCCGUGACUUCGGGCAGCCAGCGCCUGCGCUACAGGUUUUUGUUCAUCCAUCGGCCCUCGCUGCCAAAUGCUGAAGUCAGACAACUGGCGGUGGCCGGUGCCAGCUCGGGUUGCUCGCACUGGGAUUAGCACGUGAACGGGUUCGGUUUUGCGGGGGCCGAGCGUGGCCUUUGCUUUUACCCUGCUGGCUGCAGUUGCUUCUCUGAAAGAUGUCUGGUGUGACUUUGCUUUUGACUUUCUGCAAGAGGCUGUUCUGAUAAAGGGGUUUUUCCUGUUUUUUUGUAGAUGUCUUUUUACCUGGCGUGCACGUCUGCUGUGUCAGGCUGUCCCCGUGCUCAGUCCCUGGGCCAGACACCUCUUUAGAAGGGAUUAAGGGGAUGCGUUGGACCUGGGGAUCUCCAGGAAACCAAGGAUCAACCUCCAAAAUGCUGGGAGACAUAAAACAAGCAAAUCCUUCCCGAGACGGCAAAGGCAACCGAGCUUCUCAGUUGCAAGUGAAGCUGGUUUUGUCCGCUCUUUUGCUUGCAGCGUUCGCCCUCACCCCAGGACUCUGCAAACAAAACUGAAAUGAGCAGAUAAAUAAAAGAAUCAGAGUAUAUUUUUUAAAUUGUUAACUCAA